AUGGUUCCAUUUACUCCUCCCCACAGUUACUCGCACAACCCACCCCGCAGUUCAGUCGAUCGGAGGAGAAGGCGAGAGGAGAAGGCGACGGCAGAGGCGGAAGAGUCGACGGCAUUCGCGGCCGUCAGUGGGGCUCGCCGGACCGGAGCGUCUUCGUCGGAGCGCCUGCGGGUUGAAGGCAGGGUCGACAUGCACCGGUGUUCCCGCCGGCGGCGGAGUCCUGUGCUUGCCGUUUUCGGUGGCACUGGGCAAUUUCGUCGCCGCCGUGGUGGCGGUCACGCCGAAGAAGAAACGUACUCGCAACAGGGCCUCGCAGGAACGACUGACCUCAUUGACUGA
rnacentral:rRNA from 1 species